rnacentral:rRNA from 1 species
AUUGAACGCUGGCGACAGGCCUAACACAUGCAAGUCGAGCGCGAAAGUCUUCGGAUGAGUAAAGCGGCGAACGGGUGAGUAAUGCAUGGGAAUCUGCCUGGUAGUGGGGGACAACGUCUCGAAAGGGACGCUAAUACCGCAUACGCCCUACGGGGAAAGGGGGGGAGUCUUCGGACCUCUCGCUAUCAGAUGAGCCCAUGUCAGAUUAGCUAGUUGGUGAGGUAAAGGCUCACCAAGGCGACGAUCUGUAACUGGUCUGAGAGGAUGAUCAGUCACACUGGAACUGAGACACGGUCCAGACUCCUA